rnacentral:rRNA from 1 species
GACGAACGCUGGCGGCGUGCUUAACACAUGCAAGUCGAACGGAAAGGCCCUGCUUUUGUGGGGUGCUCGAGUGGCGAACGGGUGAGUAACACGUGAGUAACCUGCCCUUGACUUUGGGAUAACUUCAGGAAACUGGGGCUAAUACCGGAUAGGAGCUCCUGCUGCAUGGUGGGGGUUGGAAAGUUUCGGCUGUUGUGGAUGGACUCGCGGCUUAUCCGCUUGUUGGUGGGGUAGUGGCUUACCAGGGCUUUGACGGGUAGCCGGCCUGAGAGGGUGACCGGCCACAUUGGUACUGAGAUACGGACCAGACUCCUACGGGACGCAGCAGUGGAGAAUAUUGCACAAUGGGCGGAAGCCUGAUGCAGCAACGCCGCGUGCGGGAUGACGGCCUUCGGGUUGUAAACCGCUUUCGCCUGUGACGAAGCGUGAGUGACGGUAAUGGGUAAAGAAGCACCGGCUAACUACGUG